UACGUAGGGCCAAGCGUUGUCCGGAUUAUUGGGCGUAAAGAGCUCGUAGGCGGUUUGGAUAGUCGGGUGUGAAAACUCCAGCUCAACUCGGAGACGCCACCCGAUACUGCCAUGACUGGGAGUCCGGUAGGGGAGCAGGGAAUUCCUGGUGUAGCGGGUGAAAUGCGCAGAUAUCAGGAGGGAACACCGGUGGCGAAGGCGCUG
rnacentral:rRNA from 1 species